rnacentral:tRNA from 2 species
GCGAGGGUGGCGGAAUGGAAGACGCGCUGGACUUAGGAUCCAGUGGGGUUUUCCCGUGAGGGUUCAAAUCCCUCCCCUCGCA